GCUUAGGAGACGAAGUGAUAGACAAAACUCUCUAAAGUUCCUUACAAUCUUCAAAGCAAUGAUAUAGAAAUGACAACUAUUGGCUGGAGAUGCUCGAUCCUAUUGGCUUCCGCUAUCAGGAUCCAUUUCUGUCCACCAACACCGUCGGAGCUCCAUGAGGCAUUACAAGAUGCACUAUUAGAGAUGAUUGGAGUGCCAUUGGGCGGUGGUGUGAGGUGUAAUUAAAGCUUUGUUGAUUUUUUCAGAAACACUUUUAGAAAAUAUUAUACAUUGUUUUUCAAAAUAUAAAGAAAAUAAUUUCGAAAUAAAAUUAUAAAACUAAAUCCUAUUGCCUUAUUGCUUGUUCGUUGUAGCCUCCUGGAGGUUGACGUCGACUCGCCGGUGCAUCGUGACUUGGAGUCACAGAUGGCGAAGGUGCUGGCGUUACAACCAGAAGGGGCGGUGGCGGCGUGGUUGAGCUGGUUUGUCGGCGGAGCUGAUGUCGGUGGCAAGCUGAGAGAAAGGCGAAGGUAAACGGCGGGUGGGGCGGUGGUGCCAUUGAUUCUGGUCGGCUUCUUUUCCUCUCUAAUUGGUUGCGUCUUUCUCCCCAUCUGUUGAUGGCGUCUCCUCAUCCGGCUAGGAGGAGAUGGAGGGUCACCGGUGUUUCCUCAUAGCGUAGCAACAGCACUGUGGGUCGCUGUGCGAUGGCGAUCGACCCUUUAUUGUCCAGGAAGGUUAGUUGUCAUUGAUAAUUACGCUACUACGAGGAGAGGAAUGAGGUCGCAGCGGUCUCUAUGCGAUGGUAAAGAAGGAGGAGAGUUAUUGUGAGGCUACUGGCCGACGACGCAGGAGAAAGGGCAUGGCUGCCAUGGGUUGUCGUUGUAUUCCUCGCAACUAGCCGUGUCGUGGUGCAUGGAAAUGGAUCAUCGCGGGUGCCAAGAAUCAUCGUGCAAUGGGCGCUGCAUAUUAAUUUUCAACAUUGUAGAUCGUGGAGAGAGUUGGUAGAUUGAGAUGUUAAUGAAGUUAGAGACGUGUGGGCCAAGUACUUCAUUGAUGAAUGGUUUAAUACAUUGCAUUAGUACUUGAAGUAAUAUAAUUCAUAUAGAUAAUUUUAGAUUUAAAUUGUAUUUAUUAAUUAGUAUCAAUUGUGAGAUUUAUAACUUUUAUUAAUUUUGAUAUUAUUUGAUAUUAUAAA